rnacentral:rRNA from 1 species
UACGUAGGGGGCUAGCGUUGUCCGGAAUCAUUGGGCGUAAAGCGCCUGUAGGCGGCCCGGUAAGUCCGCUGUAAAAGUCGGGGGCUCAACCCUCGAAAGCCGGUGGAUACUGUCGGGCUAGAGUACGGAAGAGGCGAGUGGAAUUCCUGGUGUAGCGGUGAAAUGCGCAGAUAUCAGGAGGAACACCGAUUGCGAAGGCAGCU